UACGUAGGGUGCGAGCGUUGCCCGGAUUUAUUGGGCGUAAAGGGCGCGUAGGCGGCUCGGCACGUCCGUUGUGUAAUCGCCCGGCUCAACUGGGCGGGGUCAGCGGAUACGGUCGAGCUUGAGCAAGCUAGGGGGUAAUGGAAUUCCCGGUGUAGUGGUGGAAUGCGUAGAUAUCGGGAGGAACACCAGUGGCGAAGGCGGUUACCUGGGGCUUUGCUGACGCUGAUGCGCGAAAGCGUGGGGAGCGAUCCGG
rnacentral:rRNA from 1 species